GAGAAAGGUGAAGGAUGGGACACAAACCCUAAUGCAAAAACACGAAACUGCACUGAUUCCAUCACCAACUUCGAAAGCGAAGCCGUUGCAAGUUGGAAAGGGCUUAUUAUGAUGGAUUGCUCAAUCGCCUCCGUAAACACGCAUUAACACCGCGUGACUCUAACUAAACUGUUAGAAAAUUUAUAGGCUGAAAAGUUUUUGUCAGGUUCUAUUUAGCUGCAUAAUUCUAACUUGGAUUAUUGCAUGGUACAUGUUUGUAUUUUUGCUUCAACGAGUCUCUUGCAGGAAAAUUAUACCCUGUCCAUCUACUAAUCCGGGUUGCAUAUCUAUAAAUCCAAAGUCAUUGUCUCCAUACAAAUCCUGUGUUUUUGGGACCAAGAACAGACAAUUCUUGCAGGGAGUAGCUGUCUUUGUAAUAAUCUGAUAAAAUGAAAGUGAUUCAAUGGGUAGCAAGAACGAAGUUGGUCAGAAAAUGGACAAAGAGUUAUACCAAUCUACUCGCACCUGGCAGAAAAAGAGUUAAAAGCGGACAACUCAAAGUUGGGAAGGGUUGCUCUUUCAGCUGCAAUCAUUAACGAUGUUCUGUCAUGGAUGCUUUUGGCUAUAGCUAUUGCUUUGACAGUAUAUGGAAUAAUCUAUGUGGCUUCUAUAAUGGUUGUUUUGUUUUUGUUGCCUUUAA